GAUGUAGACCAUACCACACACACUGAAUGCGCCUGAUCUUGUCUGAUCUCGUAAGUUAAGCAGGGUUGGGCCUGGUUAGUACUUGGAUGGGAGACCACCUAGGAAUAUUGGGUGCUAUAGGCU
rfam:Rattus norvegicus chromosome 19, whole genome shotgun sequence.